rnacentral:lncRNA from 1 species
GAGGCUUCACCUUCCUUAUUAGUGCAUGGGCAGCCUCUUAACUCUUUAGGCAACAUCUUGAAGACCUUGAGCAGCAAUUGAAAAGACCAAAGAGCCCCCACUUGCCUCCAUUCAUAUGCAUCUCGUUUUUGCCUUCACCCAUGCACAAAGAAGGCACAUAUGGGACCAAGGGCACUUUGGACAGCCUCUAAAAGACUCAUGGACUGCCAC